rnacentral:lncRNA from 1 species
CAUUGUCAAGGGAAAAAUUCCUCCUCGGCCAGGUGUUGCAUCCCCGGGCCCGCUGCUGGCUCGCGCUGCUCCCGGCAGCCAAUCAGAUGCGCCCAUACCGGGUGGGGGGGGCGAAGGAUGCUCGCUUGAAUCUCCUCCGUGAGGGAAAAAAUAAAAUUCUCCUCAGAAGCAAAAACUAGACUCUUAAGCACUGAGCAGGCAGGGAAGGCGGGCGGGGGGGGGGGGCAGCUUUUUACCUUAGAAGAAGACCCAGAAGAGAAAGACAGACAAGAAGGCUCCGAAAAGACCAAGUUCGCCGCAAAGAAGAUGGACACCGUCGUUUUCACCUAUCUCCAUUUUGGCAGAUCAGACCCUAUAGACUGAGUAACGGAGGCGGGUCUGAAAGACUGCUGAAGACAGACUGAACCUGAUGCACCUUUGAAGCUGCUCCAGAAGAACAUAAGAAGAGAAGUCCAGCCAAAACCACGUGCCCCCUUAUACCAGCCGUAACUGCAGUUCUGCCCUGACUCUGGCCACAGGAACAGAAGAAAACCCAACAGGAGGAACCCCUUCCUCCCCCAGGUUUUCUUAGACACCCCCUCACUUAACAGCUGUGUCCAAACAUAACAAAAAGGGCAACUCAGAGGCGCUUCAGAGACAGCUGUGUGCGGCACUCGUGUUCCCAACCCUUCUCCAAUCCACCUUUGCCAUCCUAGAACCUUCAUGAGAGGGGAGGGGCAGACCGGCGUGCGAACAAUCCCAACUCUGAGCCAUUUUUGAGCUGUGUCAGAGAUGCUCUCUUUGCUAUGUCCGAUCAAGGAUAUAUUACUUAUGUAUUUUUAGUCUUGCCAUGUUUUGGCGUGCUAGCCAAUUGGCUUUUCAGGUAGGUGGCAGUCCUCUCCAUGCUGACCUCUUGCACUUUAGAUAGGCUGUAGGCAGGACCUGGGAGUCUGUGCUACUUGGUGGCACUUUAGACAGGGGGCAAAUGGUGUCUGGGCUACUUAAAGUGCCUCCAGACCUGGGUAAAUAGCCAGGAUAUUUCUGGGACUGCACUGGGAUUGCCACACCUGCGCUGUCGGGUUGGUCAAGGAAAAACCCGCUACAUCGCUAUUAUGGAAAACCCAGCAAUGAUGCUGGAUUUUCCAUAAUAGCAAUUGCUUACCUCUCUCUGG